GGGGAUUUAGCUCAGUGGUAGAGUGCUUGCCUAGCAAGUGUGCAAGGCCCUGGGUUCGGUCCCCAGCUCCG
rnacentral:tRNA from 1 species